rnacentral:rRNA from 1 species
ACUCAAAGGAAUUGACGGGGACCCGCACAAGCAGUGGAGUAUGUGGUUUAAUUCGAAGCAACGCGAAGAACCUUACCAGGGCUUGACAUGGGGACGCAAGGUAUAGAGAUAUACCCCUCUUCGGACGUCCCACACAGGUGGUGCAUGGUUGUCGUCAGCUCGUGUCGUGAGAUGUUGGGUUAAGUCCCGCAACGAGCGCAACCCUUAUUGUUAGUUGCUACCAUUAAGUUGAGCACUCUAACGAGACUGCCGGUGACAAAUCGGAGGAAGGUGGGGACGACGUCAAAUCAUCAUGCCCCUUAUGUCCUGGGCUACACACGUACUACAAUGGCCGUCAACAACGGGCAGCGAAACCGCGAGGUGGAGCAAAUCCCCAAAAACGGCCUCAGUUCAGAUUGCAGGCUGAAACUCGCCUGCAUGAAGUAGGAAUUGCUAGUAAUCGCGAAUCAGCAUGUCGCGGUGAAUACGUUCCCGGGUCUUGUACACACCGCCCGU